UCCCAGACUCCUACGGGGGGCAGCAGUGGGGAAUAUUGCACAAUGGGGGAAACCCUGAUGCAGCAACGCCGCGUGAGUGAAGAAGUAUUUCGGUAUGUAAAGCUCUAUCAGCAGGGAAGAAAAUGACGGUACCUGAGUAAGAAGCCCCGGCUAACUACGUGCCAGCAGCCGCGGUAAUACGUAGGGGGCAAGCGUUAUCCGGAUUUACUGGGUGUAAAGGGAGCGUAGACGGCGAUACAAGUCUGAAGUGAAAGCCCGGGGCUCAACCCCGGGACUGCUUUGGAAACUCUGUUGCUGGAGUGCUGGAGAGGCAAGCGGAAUUUCUAGUGUAGCGGUGAAAUGCGUAGAUAUUAGGAAGAGCACCAGUGGCGAAGGGGGCGUGCUGGACAGUAACUGACGUUGAGGCCCGAAAGCGUGGGGAGCAAACAGGAUUAGAUACCCGAGUAU
rnacentral:rRNA from 1 species